rnacentral:misc_RNA from 1 species
AACGCACAUUGCGCCCCUUGGUAUUCCGAGGGGCAUGCCUGUUCGAGCGUCAUUACAACCCUCAAGCUCUGCUUGGUAUUGGGCCUCACCCGUCAGGGCGUGCCUUAAAAUCAGUGGCGGUGCCAUCUGGCUCUAAGCGUAGUAAUUUUCUCGCUAUAGGGUCCUGUGGAUGCUUGCCAGUAACCCCAAUUUUUUCUAUGGUUGACCUCGGAUCAGGUAGGGAUACCCGCUGAACUUAA